rnacentral:rRNA from 1 species
ACUACAUGAAGCUGGAAUCGCUAGUAAUCGCAGAUCAGAAUGCUGCGGUGAAUACGUUCCCGGGUCUUGUACACACCGCCCGUCACACCAUGGGAGUUGGAAAUGCCCGAAGCCAGUGACCCAACCGUAAGGAGGGAGCUGUCGAAGGUGGAGCCGAUGACUGGGGUGAAGUCGUAACAAGGUAUC